AGGGUUCGAUUCUGGCUCAGGAUGAACGCUGGCGGCGUGCUUAACACAUGCAAGUCGAACGAUUGACCCAUCUUCGGAUGGUUAUAGAGUGGCGAACGGGUGAGUAACACGUGACCAACCUACCUUCUACUUUGGGAUAACUCAAAGAAAUUUGUGCUAAUACCGAAUACUCCGUAAUUUCCGCAUGGUUGUUACGGGAAAGUUCCGGCGGUAGAAGAUGGGGUCACGGCCUAUUAGAUAGUUGGUGGGGUAACGGCCUACCAAGUCGAUGAUAGGUAGCCGGGUUGAGAGACUGAUCGGCCACAUUGGGACUGAGAUACGGCCCAAACUCCUACGGGAGGCAGCAGUGGGGAAUUUUGCGCAAUGGGCGAAAGCCUGAACCGCAGCAACGCCGCGUGCGGGAUGACGGCCUUCGGGUUGUAAACCGCUUUCAGCAGGGAAGAUAAUGACAGUACCUGCACAAGAAGCUCCGGCUAACUACGUGCCAGCCGCCGC
rnacentral:rRNA from 1 species